GACGAACGCUGGCGGCGCGCUUAACACAUGCAAGUCGAGCGAGAACCUUCCUUCGGGAAGGGGAAAGCGGCGAACGGGUGAGUAACACGUGGGUAAUCAACCCUUGGUACCGGGAUAGCCCGAGGAAACUCGGAUUAAUACCGGAUGGCCCAACAGCUUUUCGGGGCGGUUGGGAAAGGUAGCUUCGGCCUCCGACCGAGGACGAGCCCGCGGCGGAUUAGCUUGUUGGUGAGGUAACGGCUCACCAAGGCGACGAUCCAUAGCUGGUCUGAGAGGACGAUCAGCCACACUGGGACUGAGACACGGCCCAGACUCCUACGGGAGGCAGCAGUGGGGAAUCUUGCGCAAUGGGCGAAAGCCUGACGCAGCGACGCCGCGUGGGGGAAGAAGGC
rnacentral:rRNA from 1 species